AUUGAACGCUGGCGGCAGGCCUAACACAUGCAAGUCGAGCGAGCGGCGGACGGGGGAGAAAUGUCUGGGACACUGCCUGAUGGAGAGGGAUAAAUACUCGAAACGGUAUCUCAUCUCGCAUAUCCCCAGAUGUGUCCCGAGGGGAUUGGCUGGUAGGUGGGGUAACGGCUCACCUCGGCGCCGAUCCCUAGCUGGUCUGAGAGGAUGACACGCAACACGGGAACUGAGACACGGUCCAGACUCCUACGGGGGGCAGCAGUGGGGAAUAUUGCACAAUGGGCGCAAGCCUGAUGCAGCCAGGCCGCGUGUGUGAAGAAGGCCUUCGGGUUGUAAAGCACUUUCAGCGGGGAGGCGUUACCCGCAGAAGAAGCACCGGCUAACUCCGUGCCAGCAGCCGCGGUAAUAC
rnacentral:rRNA from 1 species